CUCUCCCAAGCCGCCGCCACUCCUUCUCCCUCCCCUUUCUCUCUAUUCUCUCUCUACCGCCCACCUCUCUCCACCUCCUCUCCCCAAGCCGCGCCACCAGGAGUUCAGCAGCCGCCAGAAGCUGCCAUCCAGCGCCCCUGCCCCGCACCUGCGCACCCGCCGAACCGCCCGGCCACCCCGAGCCCCCACCCGACCUGGCCGCGUAGCCCCUACCGGUGUGCACCCGACGCGACCGCGCCUGGAACACCGCCCAGGCGCCCCGCCUCUGCAUCCGCCCGCCAGGAGCAGCGCCCCUGCGACCCACGCCGAAGACUCGACGCCUAGAGCCGCGCGCAAGUCCGACCCCGACCGGCUUGCCCUUUCCCCGCCCCAAGGGUACACGGUCGCCGCCACCUGCCCUAGGCCGCAGAAGGGAGCGUUUGCCGCCCGGCCCUCCGUCUCCCGUCGCCUCGCCCCCGCGCUCCGUCAGCGACCCCUCUCCGAAAUUGGCAGAGUCAUGGAGUUUACCUUACCUGGAUGCUUUCGGUGCUGCCAAGAACAUGCAUGUUUAUGAGGUCUCAUUUAUAGAUUCUUGGGUAUUAUCAUUGAGUCCUAUGAGACGAGCAUUUCUCAAGGCGAUGAGGAAAUCUAACAAUCAUUAAUUAAGAUACAUAUAUCUGGUUGAUGGCCUGGGAAGAAUAAGAUGGCAAGGCUCUGGAUCUGCAACACAAGAAGAACUGUCGUCACUAAUAGCGUGUACCUCCAUUUUGUUAGAUGAAAAAUGAGAUGGGGUGGCUGAUCUUUGCUAUUUUGUAACUUCUGGUACAAGAUAUUUUUGUGAAUGAUCAUCUCUGGAGCUUUUGUGAAUGAUCUAGCUAGCUAUCUGUAAAUGGUCUAAUUGUGAAUGAUAUUAUAAUUGUGAUGCUUUUGUGAAUAUAUAAUUGUGGUGCUUUUGUGUUUAU